UGGGGAAUAUUGCACAAUGGGCGCAAGCCUGAUGCAGCCAUGCCGCGUGCGUGAAGAAGGCCUUCGGGUUGUAAAGCACUUUCAGCGAGGAGGAAGGUGGUGAACUUAAUACGUUCAUCAAUUGACGUUACUCGCAGAAGAAGCACCGGCUAACUCCGUGCCAGCAGCCGCGGUAAUACGGAGGGUGCAAGCGUUAAUCGGAAUUACUGGGCGUAAAGCGCACGCAGGCGGUUUGUUAAGUCAGAUGUGAAAUCCCCGGGCUCAACCUGGGAACUGCAUUGAACUGGCAGCUAGAGUCUCGUAGAGGGGGGUAGAAUUCCAGGUGGUAGCGGUGAAAUGCGUAGAGAUCUGGAAGGAAUACCGGUGGCGAAGGCGGCCCCCAUGGACGAAGA
rnacentral:rRNA from 1 species